CAGCAGCCGCGGUAAUACGUAGGUCCCGAGCGUUGUCCGGAUUUAUUGGGCGUAAAGCGAGCGCAGGCUGUUAGAUAAGUCUGAAGUUAAAGGCUGUGGCUUAACCAUAGUACGCUUUGGAAACUGUUUAACUUGAGUGCAAGAGGGGAGAGUGGAAUUCCAUGUGUAGCGGUGAAAUGCGUAGAUAUAUGGAGGAACACCGGUGGCGAAAGCGGCUCUCUGGCUUGUAACUGACGCUGAGGCUCGAAAGCGUGGGGAGCAAACAGGAUUAGAUACCCGCGUAGUCCCUGUCUCUUAUACA
rnacentral:rRNA from 1 species